rnacentral:rRNA from 1 species
CGGCGAACGGUCGCGUAACACGUAGGCAACCUGCCCUAGAGUGGGGGGAGUAACAAACCUGAAAAGGUUGCUAAUACCGCAUGUGGACCCGGGGGGGCGAUCCCCCUUGGUGCAAAGCGUCUUCGGGCGCGCUUUAGGAUGGGCUUGCGGCCUAUCAGCUUGUUGGUGGGGUAACGGCCUACCAAGGCGUUGACGGGUAGCUGGUCUGAGAGGAUGGUCAGCCGGAUUGGGACUGAGAUACGGCCCAG